AUACGUAGGUGGCAAGCGUUAUCCGGAAUUAUUGGGCGUAAAGCGCGCGCAGGCGGUUUCUUAAGUCUGAUGUGAAAGCCCACGGCUCAACCGUGGAGGGUCAUUGGAAACUGGGAAGCUUGAGUGCAGAAGAGGAGAGUGGAAUUCCAUGUGUAGCGGUGAAAUGCGUAGAGAUAUGGAGGAACACCAGUGGCGAAGGCGACUCUCUGGUCUGCAACUGACGCUGAGGCGCGAAAGCGUGGGGAGCAAACAGGAUUAGAUACCCUGGUAGUCCACGCCGUAAACGAUGAGUGCUAAGUGUUAGGGGGUUUCCGCCCCUUAGUGCUGCAGCUAACGCAUUAAGCACUCCGCCUGGGGAGUACGGUCGCAAGACUGAAACUCAAAGGAAUUGACGGGG
rnacentral:rRNA from 1 species